GAUUUUGACGAAGGUCCUUGCUGGACAAUAUCAUGGUUCUGAAGCUCUACAUAGAUCAAGAUGGUUGUUACCUAUGAUGAGCUGAUUCAGCCUGACCUAUCCAGGUUUAAAUGCAAAGCUUGCAGCCAAGCACAUUAUCCACAAAGCUUGCAUUACCACCAUGUUCUAGGUCUCUUUUGGAGGCGACGAAGUAGUAUGCUCUUGAUGAGUUGCUUC